rnacentral:rRNA from 1 species
GACGAACGCUGGCGGCGUGCUUAACACAUGCAAGUCGAACGACGAAGCCUAGCUUGCUAGGUGGAUUAGUGGCGAACGGGUGAGUAAUACGUGAGUAACCUACCUUUAACUCUGGGAUAAGCCUGGGAAACUGGGUCUAAUACCGGAUACGACCAAUCUCCGCAUGGGGUGUUGGUGGAAAGCGUUAUGUAGUGGUUAUAGAUGGGCUCACGGCCUAUCAGCUUGUUGGUGAGGUAACGGCUCACCAAGGCGACGACGGGUAGCCGGCCUGAGAGGGUGACCGGCCACACUGGGACUGAGACACGGCCCAGACUCCUACGGGAGGCAGCAGUGGGGAAUAUUGCACAAUGGGCGCAAGCCUGAUGCAGCGACGCCGCGUGAGGGAUGACGGCCUUCGGGUUGUAAACCUCUGUUAGCAGGGAAGAAGAGAAAUUGACGGUACCUGCAGAGAAAGCGCCGGCUAACUACGUG